rnacentral:lncRNA from 1 species
CUUUUACUUGGCCGGGGCUGCGGCGACGCUGGGUUCGAACAGCGGCGGGUUCAUACUUGUCAGCAGAUUAGGAGGAGACUCUGGGUUCGUACGCCGACUGAGGCUUCUCCUUGAUGGGCUCCGGGCCCCGAAGUCUGGGGGCAGUACGGGGCCGGGGACAUGCAGGAAAGGGCCCUGGACCACUACAAAGCCGCAAAGAAAAAUUAGACUUGUUUCAUUUUAUAACAACAACAACUGCUACUACUGCUACUAGUUAGAUA